rnacentral:rRNA from 1 species
CCUUUAAUUUUCCUGCUUGAAACCGUGAUUCGGGGACACCGAGUGCCAGCAUCAUAUGCUGGCUGUCCAGGUGUGUAAAAUACACCUGUUAGCAAGGGCCGGGCAAGACCGGUGCCAGCCGCCGCGGUAACACCGGCGGCCCGAGUGGUGAUCGUGAUUAUUGGGUCUAAAGGGUCCGUAGCCGGUUUGGUCAGUCCUCCGGGAAAUCUGAUAGCUUAACUAUUAGGCUUUCGGAGGAUACUGCCAGACUUGGAACCGGGAGAGGUAAGAGGUACUACAGGGGUAGGAGUGAAAUCUUGUAAUCCCUGUGGGACCACCUGUGGCGAAGGCGUCUUACCAGAACGGGUUCGACGGUGAGGGACGAAAGCUGGGGGGCACGAACCGGAUUAGAUACCCGGGUAGUCCCAGCCGUAAACGAUGCUCGCUAGGCGUCAGGCAUGGCGCGACCGUGUCUGGUGCCGCAGGGAAGCCGUGAAGCGAGCCACCUGGGAAGUACGGCCGCAAGGCUGAAACUUAAAGGAAUUGGCGGGGGAGCAC